rnacentral:lncRNA from 1 species
UUCAGGAGAAAUUUGUUGUAGUUCUCAGAAAUUGCAUAUUAUUAAUAAUCACACAACUGGUAGCAGAAACAAAAAGCGUGUUAUCUUCCUCACAGGCAUAUGUAGCGGCUAAUCAUAUAGAAUAUAUAGUUUGAUUUUGCUGCAGUAAAAACGCAAGUUUUGAAGUCAAUAUUUGUAGUUUCCGAACAAGUUUUGAAGUCAAUAAAAAUAGGCUUACUUUCCUUUUUUGCAUGUCUCAAAUUAUAGGCUACUUUCCUUAUUGAGAGUAUGGUUGAUUUUUUAGUUUUCUAAUAUGUCCCUAUUUAAUAUGCUUUAUUUUCAACAAAUAUGAAUUACAUCUAUUUAUGUUGAAUACCUACCUUUCAUUCAAAUUAUAACUUUUUAUUCAAACUUUAAAUAAAUUUAUCAUGGAAACAAACUUGAGUUGAGACAGAUGUCUGGCCUAAGUAGUGCUGGAAGUAUUAGAUUAGGACCAAUACGCGAGGAAGAUAGCAUGACCGAUGUACCAAAGAGCAAUGUCCCGCAAGAAGAUCCUGUUGAACUAUUACCAAAUGCGGAUGAAAGGACAAUAAUCCUAAGUGACAAUGAGCGUGAUAUUGAAGAAAUAUCAUUUGGAAAGAGGAAAUUGACUUCAACUGUGUGGGAGCACUACAAAAGACAGAAAGUUGGAGAGAAAUGGAAGGCUGUAUGCAAUCAUUGCAAGAAACAAUGGGGUGAAACAAAAAAUGGUACAAAGCAUUUGCAUGAUCAUUUGAAGAGAUGUGUAUUCCGUUAUAAGGAUAAUACUCACCAAGCAAUAUUAAAUUUCAAAAAGGAUGCCACGAGUGGUAAGGUCACAAUGGGUACUUACUAUUUCGAUCCAGAUAAGUGUAGAUAUAGUCUUUCGAAAAUGGUGAUUUUGCAUGAGUAUCCUUUGUCUAUGGUUGAUCACAUUGGAUUUCGAUAGUUUUUACACGACCUACAACCAUUGUUUAAGGUUCCUUCUCGCAACACUUUUAAGAGCAACAUUUUGAAAAUCUAUGAAUACGAGAGAGCCAAAAAUAUGAUUGCACUUGAAAAGAUUGAGAGUCGAAUUUCGAUCACUACGUCUCUUCUAAUCAAAAGAGAGGAUUCAUGCUUAUCACUGCUCAUUUCAUAGAUGAUGCGUGAAAAUUACAAAGUCGAAUCAUGAGGUAUAGUAAAACAUUACAUUCACUUGUUCCCAUAAUUUACCAAAAUGAUAUUCUUUUAGUUGAUUUAAUUUGUACUUGAAUGAACUCAGGUUUAUGUAUGUGUCAUGCCCACACACUGCUGAUGUGCUUUCAGAAACUUUAUUGAGCACCUUGAUGGACUGGAAUGUUGAUCGUAAGUUACUAACUUGGGCUGUAGAUAAUUGCACCACAAAUGAUGCAAUGAUCAGUAUUAUGUUAAGUCAACUUUGUACUAGUUCUCUUGUACUAAAUGGUGAAUUUUUUCAUAUGAGGUGUUGUGUACAUAUAUUAAAUCUUAUUGUGAAGGAUGGGUUUGACGUUAUUAGUGGUAGUAUUGAGAAAAUUCGUGAUAGUGUUG